rnacentral:lncRNA from 1 species
GAUUGAGUUAUUUUCUGUUAUGUAAUUAGCAAUAGGAUUGCUAUUUAUGAAAUGUGCUGAUCUAUUUGUGAAAUGAGUCAACAUAUUUGGUGAACAGAAAAUAAAACCUUUCAAAUUUGAAAAUUGUUUUCGAAAUGCCAAACCCUGACCCAUCAGCCCAAAUACUUAAUUAAAAGAAUUAAGUAUUGUCUAGUAGGUCUAGAAUUGUGAAUUAAGACCUAAGACAAUUGCAUAAACUUGUGGGUCAAUAGGUUAGAUGGAUUAGGUCCAUAAUUGGGUUAGACCUAAGGUUAGCUUAAAGAAAUGGACUAAAUUAGAGUAAUUGAUCAAAUCAAAUCAAAAAUUGAAUUAGAUUAGGUCAAGGAUACUCUAGACUCAACUCCAAUAGUUGUAGUUGAAUGGGUCCAUGUCUUUAACUAGACCAAGAUGGACUUAAUUCAUGGCUACGCGGUGGAAUCCUAUUUA